rnacentral:rRNA from 1 species
CCUACGGGGGGCAGCAGUGAGGAAUAUUGGUCAAUGGGCGGAAGCCUGAACCAGCCAAGUAGCGUGCAGGAUGAAGGCCCUACGGGUUGUAAACUGCUUUUAUACGGGAAUAACGCGCCUUACGUGUAGGCCUUUGCAUGUACCGUAUGAAUAAGGACCGGCUAAUUCCGUUCCAGCAGCCGCGGUAAUACGGAGGGUCCGGGCGUUAUCCGGAUUUAUUGGGUUUAAAGGGAGCGUAGGCCGCAUGUCAAGCCUGCUGUGAAAUGUCCGGGCUCAACCCGGGCCUUGCAGCGCGAACUGGCGUGCUGGAGUGCGCGGAAGGCAGGCGGAAUUCGUCGUGUAGCGGUGAAAUGCUUAGAUAUGACGAAGAACCCCGAUUGCGAAGGCAGCUUGCUGGAGCGGAACUGACGCUGAUGCUCGAAAGCGCGGGUAUCGAACAGGAUUAGAUACCCGUGUAGUC